ensembl:lncRNA
GAAGUAAACCACGAUGGUUGGCAAUAAGGAUCUUAUGCAGGGUUAAUUUCCUUGUCCUGGGCUGGAAUUUAAUGUUGUUUCAUGAUAACAUCACAACAGAGGCUCUUCGGGUGAGGCAUUGGCCACACUUGUUUUAACACCAGCGCUGAGAGACAAUGGCAAGAAGAAGACUUCUGUGAGUUCAAGGCCAGUUGGAUUUACAGAAAAAACUGGUGAUAAGGAUGCUGAACUGUAGCUCUCCACAAUUGACAGCUUCUAGCAGGAAUUCGGGUGGUGAAAGACACAGUGUUCUCUAAGGGGCUAGCCGCCAUGCUCCAGUGAGUAUAUGGGCAACACGAAUUGGACUUGUUUUGUUUAUUUGUUUUCUUCUAUCCUUCCUUUUCCCUUGCUUUUUCCUUCCUCUCUCUCUAUCCUCUCUCUCUCCCCCACCCCUCUCUCUCUCUUCCUCCUCUUCCUCCUCCUCCUCGUCCUCCUCCUCCUCCUUUUUGGCAGAGGGUUGUCACAAGGACAGGAAAACAGACCUGGGAGGACUAGAAAGUGAGUGUGCUCAGGGUUCAUGAUGUGAAAUCUCCCAAAAUCAAUAAAACUAUUGUUUAAAAACAAAAGAACCAAAAGAACCUCUUUUGUGAGAUUAUGGAAUUAGCCUUACAAGCUUGAAAACCUUGUUUCAAUUCCCAGAAUCCGUGUAAAAACUGCAAGAGAGUGCUAGCAUGUGCUUGUAAUUUCAGGGCUGGGGAGACAAGGUAGAAAAAUCCCUAGGAUUCAGUGGCCCAUCUGACAAGCCUACAUGGCAACCUCUAGACCAGCGACAGACCCUGUCUCAAUGGAGUUGUAUGAUACUCCUCAAGAUAACACCUAAUUUAUCCUCUGACUUCUACAUGCAUGCAUGUGCAUGUAUACCUGCAUAUACAUACGUAUCUACCUCCACAUAGUUGAACUUGCACAUACACAUUCACAGAAAAAGAAAACUCCUUUGUAACUUCUGUAAUUACUGUUAAAUAUUACUGUAAUUCUGUUAAAAUAUCUGAGGUUAUCUGGACUCCAAAAAUAUUUGAGGAGAGUCCUAGGAGCUAGGAAAAUGUCUAGGUGGGUAAAACAUUUACUGGAAAUGUAUGCAGAUAUGAGUUCAUAGAAGACAGCACCCAUAGAAAGGGUCAGGCAUGGUGGCAUUCAUCUGUAAUUUCAGCACUGAAAGGUGGAGGCAGACACUUACACACACACACACACACACACACACACACACCAGAGAUCUUUGAGUGUACCUCAGAGGCUGGGUGGGUUAGGCCUAUUGCAGGGAGUCACCAUGGCCAGGUCUGAAAGAGGGUCCUACCAGGGUCCUCAUCGCCAAAGAGAAAGUUCAUCUCUGAGGACCUGGUCAGAACAUCUGUGCCAUCCUCCUAGCAGAGCCGAA